rnacentral:rRNA from 1 species
AUUGAACGCUGGCGGCAUGCUUUACACAUGCAAGUCGAACGGCAGCACGGACUUCGGUCUGGUGGCGAGUGGCGAACGGGCGAGUAAUACAUCGGAACGUGCCCAGUUGUGGGGGAUAACUACUCGAAAGAGUAGCUAAUACCGCAUGAGAACUGAGGUUGAAAGCAGGGGAUCGUAAGACCUUGCGCAACUGGAGCGGCCGAUGGCAGAUUAGGUAGUUGGCGGGAUAAAAGCUUACCAAGCCGACGAUCUGUAGCUGGUCUGAGAGGACGACCAGCAACACUGGGACGGAGACACGGCCCAGACUCCUACGGGAGGCAGCAGUGGGGAAUUUUGGACAAUGGGCGAAAGCCUGAUCCAGCAAUGCCGCGUGCAGGAUGAAGGCCUUCGGGUUGUAAACUGCUUUUGUACGGAACGAAAAGCUUCGGGCUAAUACCCUGGAGUCAUGACGGUACCGUAAGAAUAAGCACCGGCUAACUACGUGCCAGCCGCCGCAGUAAGAC